AUGGAGGAGCUGUGCCCUGCCCUCACCUGGUGCAUGCCUGCAGGCCACGUGGCUGGCAGCCUGCCUGCAGGGCUGGCCCCCUGCUCACCCAGCAGGACGCUGGCGAUGGCCAGGCCAGUGGCCUGGGCAGGGAAGAAGCAAGCCAGGAUGGCCCCCACACCAUCAUGUGCCUGCGCCCAGCUCACAUCCAGAGGCCCCGCGUUGAACAGCAGCAGGAUGACGGGGUGCCCAGCAGCUUCAGGAGAGGGGUUUCACUAUGAGCACACGGCUGGCAUUGCUUUGGGGUUGGGAGGGGGAUGUGUGCCUUGUCCCCUACACACAGACCACGUGCAGUGCCCUACCUGCACGCACAGCAUCCUGCAGCAGCUGCAGCUGGUGUCCAGGCAGGGACAGGUCCUUGCGGUCCCUCCCCUCCGUCUCCACAUCUAUCCCUGUUGGAGGGGGAACCAAGAGACACCCCACUGCACCCCAUCCCCACGUUCCCCACAUGGCAGUGUCCGUGCCCUGUGCUCCCACCUACCCGUCCCCAGGCAAACCAGCACCACAUCAGCUCCCCGCACCGCAUCCUCCACCUCAUCCCGUGUGUAUACCCUGCACUGUGGCUCCUGGCAGCCAGCGGCAAAGCUGACAUUGGCUGGCAGUGUUUGCAGCCCCCUCCUGUGUGGGGCACAAUGGGGUCAGUGCACCAUGGGGAGAGCAACCCAUCGCCCCAGGGAAGGGCUGAGAGGGGCUGAGCACAGCUGGGGGCUCACCGUGGUGUGUAGAUAUACUGUGGCUCUGGCACCGGUGCGUAGUCCCCAAACAGCACACGGGGGUUGUCUGCAAAGGGACCCACCACCUGCAGAUGGGAAAGGGGUGAAGACAGGCACCCACAGCCCCGUGCCAAGGAGGGGAUGCACCGCUGUGGAGCAGCCCAGGUCUCACCGCCAGGCGCUUGCCGUGCAGCUCACGGAGCGGCAGCGUGUCCCGCUGGUUCUUCAGCAGCACGAAGCUCUUGAUGGCUGCCUCCAGAGCGAGGCUGCGGUGCUCAGGGCUCUGCACCACGCUCAGCUCCAGGCUGCUGUAGGGGUUCAUGGCCGGGGGGUCGAACUCCCCCAGCCGCAGCCGUGUGUAGAAGAGGGGCCUCACACGGUCACGCAGCGUCUGCCAAAAGCCCAGCAUCAAAGUCUUCAUCACGCUUUGGGCACGGGACAAUGA
rnacentral:lncRNA from 1 species